rnacentral:tRNA from 1 species
UCCCUUGUGGCUCAGAUGGUAAAGAAUCUGCCUGCAAUGCAGGAGACCUGGGUUCAAUUCCUGGGUUGGGAA